rnacentral:rRNA from 1 species
CCUACGGGGGGCAGCAGUGGGGAAUAUUGGACAAUGGGCGAAAGCCUGAUCCAGCCAUGCCGCGUGUGUGAAGAAGGCCUUCGGGUUGUAAAGCACUUUCAGUGGGGAAGAAAGCCUUGGGGCUAAUACCCUCGAGGAAGGACAUCACCCACAGAAGAAGCACCGGCUAACUCCGUGCCAGCAGCCGCGGUAAUACGGAGGGUGCGAGCGUUAAUCAGAAUUACUGGGCGUAAAGCGCGCGUAGGCGGUCUGAUAAGCCGGUUGUGAAAGCCCCGGGCUCAACCUGGGAACGGCAUCCGGAACUGUCAGGCUAGAGGGCAGGAGAGGAAGGUAGAAUUCCCGGUGUAGCGGUGAAAUGCGUAGAGAUCGGGAGGAAUACCAGUGGCGAAGGCGGCCUUCUGGACUGACACUGACGCUGAGGUGCGAAAGCGUGGGUAGCAAACAGGAUUAGAUACCCCAGUAGUC